rnacentral:rRNA from 1 species
UACGUAGGGUGCGGGCGUUGCCCGGAUUUAUUGGGCGUAAAGGGCGCGUAGGCGGCCACGCACGUCCGUUGUGAAAUCGCCCGGCUCAACUGGGCGGGGUCAGCGGAUACGGUGUGGCUAGAGCAAGCUAGGGGGCAAUGGAAUUCCCGGUGUAGUGGUGGAAUGCGUAGAUAUCGGGAGGAACACCAGUGGCGAAGGCGGUUGCCUGGAGCUUUGCUGACGCUGAUGCGCGAAAGCGUGGGGAGCGAUCCGG